GUUCAAGUGGUUCUCCGGUUCUGUAGUCUCAUUGUAUUCUGAAGAUGUUAAAAGAUCAAAUUUUAUGUAGAGCCUGCUUCCAAAGGCUGCAUUGGUCAACAGGAGUUCAGUUUUCGAAGUAAUACUGAGCAGCUACAUGUCUGGACAGCCUCAGUAGGAACUGCAGCAGCUCUUCACUCUGCGCGCCCAAUCCCACGUGUCCGCUUGGGUCCUGCCAAAGGAGAAGGGUGGCAGAGGGAUGACGUGAGCCAAAAGAUGUAUCUGCAGGCGGUGAGGAGCGAUGGGGACAGUGGUGUGACAGACAGAGAAUGGCUUUGUAUCAGCUAUUAACUCCUUCCAGAAGGUCCAUCCUUCAGGUUAUUUUUCUGGAUGGCAAAGUACUGCUGCUACUGCUGCGUAUAGCUACAGCUCUGAAGAUGAGAAAGGUCUCUUCACUUGUGGAGGUUGCUGGUCCCGACCUCACGUUCUGGAGGAUGGAGGCCGGGCGACCGAGUCGGUCCCCGCAGCCAUCCCCACCUUUGCGGACCGUGUCGCUUCUCUGUCACGCCGCCUGCAA